UGGGGAAUAUUGCACAAUGGGGGAAACCCUGAUGCAGCGACGCCGCGUGAGCGAAGAAGGUUUUCGAAUCGUAAAGCUCUGUCCUAUGGGAAGAUAAUGACGGUACCAUAGGAGGAAGCCCCGGCUCACUACGUGCCAGCAGCCGCGGUAAUACGUAGGGGGCAAGCGUUUUCCGGAAUCACUGGGCGUAAAGGGUUCGCAGGCGGAAAUGCAAGUCAGUUGUGAAAGGCAGAGGCUCAACCUCUGUAAGCAAUUGAAACUGUAUUUCUUGAGAUGUGGAGAGGCAAGUGGAAUUCCUAGUGUAGCGGUGAAAUGCGUAGAUAUUAGGAAGAAUACCGGUGGCGAAGGCGACUUGCUGGACACAAACUGACGCUGAGGAACGAAAGCGUGGGUAGCAAACAGG
rnacentral:rRNA from 1 species